UCUGGGAUAAGCCUGGGAAACUGGGUCUAAUACCGGAUAUGACCUUCCAUCGCAUGGUGGUUGGUGGAAAGCUUUUGUGGUUUUGGAUGGACUCGCGGCCUAUCAGCUUGUUGGUGGGGUAAUGGCCUACCAAGGCGACGACGGGUAGCCGGCCUGAGAGGGUGACCGGCCACACUGGGACUGAGACACGGCCCAGACUCCUACGGGAGGCAGCAGUGGGGAAUAUUGCACAAUGGGCGAAAGCCUGAUGCAGCGACGCCGCGUGAGGGAUGACGGCCUUCGGGUUGUAAACCUCUUUCAGUAGGGAAGAAGCGUAAGUGACGGUACCUGCAGAAGAAGCGCCGGCUAACUACGUGCCAGCAGCCGCGGUAAUACGUAGGGCGCAAGCGUUAUCCGGAAUUAUUGGGCGUAAAGAGCUCGUAGGCGGUUUGUCGCGUCUGCCGUGAAAGUCCGGGGCUCAACUCCGGAUCUGCGGUGGGUACGGGCAGACUAGAGUGAUGUAGGGGAGACUGGAAUUCCUGGUGUAGCGGUGAAAUGCGCAGAUAUCAGGAGGAACACCGAUGGCGAAGGCAGGUCUCUGGGCAUUAACUGACGCUGAGGAGCGAAAGCAUGGGGAGCGAACAGGAUUAGAUACCCUGGUAGUCCAUGCCGUAAACGUUGGGCACUAGGUGUGGGGGACAUUCCACGUUUUCCGCGCCGUAGCUAACGCAUUAAGUGCCCCGCCUGGGGAGUACGGCCGCAAGGCUAAAACUCAAAGGAAUUGACGGGGGCCCGCACAAGCGGCGGAGCAUGCGGAUUAAUUCGAUGCAACGCGAAGAACCUUACCAAGGCUUGACAUGAACCGGACCGCUGCAGAAAUGUGGUUUCCCCUUUGGGGCUGGUUUACAGGUGGUGCAUGGUUGUCGUCAGCUCGUGUCGUGAGAUGUUGGGUUAAGUCCCGCAACGAGCGCAACCCUCGUUCUAUGUUGCCAGCACGUGAUGGUGGGGACUCAUAGGAGACUGCCGGGGUCAACUCGGAGGAAGGUGGGGACGACGUCAAAUCAUCAUGCCCCUUAUGUCUUGGGCUUCACGCAUGCUACAAUGGCCGGUACAAAGGGUUGCGAUACUGUGAGGUGGAGCUAAUCCCAAAAAGCCGGUCUCAGUUCGGAUUGGGGUCUGCAACUCGACCCCAUGAAGUCGGAGUCGCUAGUAAUCGCAGAUCAGCAACGCUGCGGUGAAUACGUUCCCGG
rnacentral:rRNA from 1 species